CCUACGUGAGACAGCAGUGGGGGAUAUUGCACAAUGGGGGGAACCCUGAUGCAGCGACGCCGCGUGAGCGAUGGAGUACUUCGGUAUGUAAACUGCUGUUAGCAGGGAAGAAAAUGACGGUAUCUGACCAAUAAGCACCGGCUAAAUCCGUGCCAGCAGCCGCGGUAAUACGGAGGGGGCAAGCGUUACCCGGAUUUACUGGGAGUAAAGGGAGCGUAGGCGGCAGGGCAAGGCUGAUGUGAAAGCCCAGGGCUUAACCACGGGACUGCAUUUGAAACUGCCAUGCUGGAGUGCGGGAGGGGCAGGUGGAAUUCUUGGUGUAGGGGUAAAAUCCGUAGAGAUUAAGAGGAACACGCGUGGCGAAGGCGACCUGCUAGAAGGUGACUGACGCUGAGGCGCGAAAGCGUGGGGAGCAAACAGGAUUAGAUACCCGGGUAGUC
rnacentral:rRNA from 1 species